GCAAAGCCAAAGCGAGCGUCCUGCGGAGGUUCUGGCUGAAGUAUCCCUUGGAGCAUCAGCAAAGACUGCUGGUAGAGGGGCCCCUGAGAGAAAAAGGCGACGUCCACCCGGCAGAAGCAUGGAGGAAACAGAGUAACCUAGAAGUGUGCAAACGGGAAAGGAGUUGGGGUCAGAAGGGGGAGGCUCCCUGAAGACACAGGAGGAAGUCCCAGGAGAAAUAACAAGAAAUUAUACAAGGAACUCAGAAAGUGCUGCCUCUCCCUACUUUCCCAGUCCCCUGCAACUCCCUGCUACUCACCCAGCCUCACAGGCCUUUAGUGCUGCCGGGAGCUCCUCUCCGUCAUGUGAUUCUCCAUCAGUGACCACCACCAGCAACC